UGGGGAAUAUUGCACAAUGGAGGGAACUCUGAUGCAGCGACGCCGCGUGAACGAAGAAGGCUUUCGAGUCGUAAAGUUCUUUUAUAUGGGAAGAUAAUGACGGUACCAUAAGAAAAAGCCCCGGCUAACUACGUGCCAGCAGCCGCGGUAAUACGUAGGGGGCUAGCGUUGUCCGGAAUCACUGGGCGUAAAGGGUUCGCAGGCGGAAAUGCAAGUCAGGUGUAAAAGGCAGUAGCUUAACUACUGUAAGCAUUUGAAAUUGCAUAUCUUGAGAAGAGUAGAGGUAAGUGGAAUUUUUAGUGUAGCGGUGAAAUGCGUAGAUAUUAAAAAGAAUACCGGUGGCGAAGGCGACUUACUGGGCUCAUUCUGACGCUGAGGAACGAAAGCGUGGGUAGCAAACAGG
rnacentral:rRNA from 1 species